rnacentral:rRNA from 1 species
UACGUAGGGGGCAAGCGUUAUCCGGAUUUACUGGGUGUAAAGGGAGCGUAGGCGGCUUUGCAAGUCAGGUGUGAAAGCCCGGGGCUCAACUCCGGGACUGCACUUGAAACUGCGAAGCUCGAGUACGGGAGAGGCAGGCGGAAUUCCUGGUGUAGCGGUGAAAUGCGUAGGUAUCAGGAAGAACACCGGUGGCGAAGGCGGCCUGCUGGACCGAGACUGACGCUGAGGCACGAAAGUGUGGGGAUCAAAC